UUAAUUUAAAAAUUAAUUAAUUAAUAAUUAAUAAAAGAAUUUUUAAUAAAAUUUUUAUUUAGUUGUUUUAGUAUAUUUUAUAGAAAAAAUUAAAAAAUUUAUAGUAAAUAAGUAUUGUGAAAGAAUUUUGAAAUAAGUGAAAAUUAAUUUAUAAAAAAGUAAUUUUAAUUUAAUGUAUCUUGUGUAUCAGAGUUUAUUAAUAAAAAUUUUUAUUUGAAAAUUUCUCGAAUUAAAAAGAGCUAUUAAAUUAAUAAAAUUAUUGUUUCAAAAAUAUUUUAAAUAAUUUAAUUGAAAUGAAAUGUUAAUCGUUUUUUAAGAUAUCUAGUUUUUUUAGAAAAAAAUUUAAUUUAUAAUUUUAAAAAUUAUAUAAUUUUUUAUUUAAUUAUUUAAUUUAAAAUUUAAAUAUUUUAAGGGAUAAGCUUUAAAAUAAAUUUUUAUAAGAAUAAGAAAAAAUUUAUUAAAAAUUUUAUAAUUUAUAUUGUUAAAUAAAUUUUAAUUUAUUAUAAAUAAUUUUAAUAAAAGAAAAAUUUAAAAAUAUUUCUUUAAUUUUUUAUAAAAAAAAAUAUAAUUAAUAAUAUAUUUUUAGUUAUAAUGAUAAAAUUAGUAUAUAAUAUUAAGUUAAUUAAAUUAAGAUAUAAAUUAUAAUUUAAGUUAAUUAUAAAGAAUUCGGCAAAUUUAAUUUAUUUAUAUUCACCUGUUUAUCAAAAACAUGUCUUUUUGUUAAUAAUUUAAAGUCUAAUCUGCCCACUGAAUAAAUUUGAAGGGCUGCAGUAUUUUGACUGUACAAAGGUAGCAUAAUCAUUAGUCUCUUAAUUGGUGACUUGUAUGAAUGAUUGGAUGAAAUAUAAGCUGUUUCUUAAUUAUUUAUAAAAUUUAAUUUUUUUAUUAAAAAGUAAAAAUGAAUUUAAAAGACGAGAAGACCCUAUAGAGUUUAAUAUAGUAAUUAAAUUAAAAAUUAUAUUUAAGAAGUUAAUUAAAUUUAUUUAUUAUAUUUUGUUGGGGUGAUAAGAAAAUUAAAAAAACUUUUUUAUAAAAUUUCCAUAGAUAAGUGAUUUUAUGAUCCAAUAUUAUUGAUUAAAAGAAAAAAUUACCUUAGGGAUAACAGCGUAAUUUUUUUUUCUAGUUCAAAUAGGAAAAAGAGUUUGCGACCUCGAUGUUGGAUUAAGAUAAAAUUUAAACGUAAAAGUUUAAAAUUUUGAUCUGUUCGAUCAUUAAAAUCUUACAUGAUCUGAGUUCAAACCGGUGUAAGCCAGGUUGGUUUCUAUCUUUAAAUUAAUAAAAUAUUUUAGUACGAAAGGACCAAAUAUUUGAAAUAACUUUUAUUUUUUGAAUUUUAUUAAAUUUAUUAAUAAAUUAAAAAUAAAAAUUUUUUUUUAAUUAAAA
rnacentral:rRNA from 1 species